CGAGUGGAGCAUUCAUGGAACGUUCGUUAAUGGCGACUGCCAUGUUUACUGAACAUGUAGCAAAAGCGUUUAAAUACAAAUUCUGAGAAGUAUGCUGCUGCCAGUCAGCUACCUCUCUGAGUUAGCAAAUUAGCGAAUCCAACUGGUUCGCUGACUUGCAACUGGGAGACAGUGUGUUUCGGUGUGAACCAUGGAAGUACCAACUUCGAAGCUAAUGAGAAUGCAUCAUCAGAUCGUUCACUCCCGAGUACCAAUGCGUCACAAACAUUCCGCCAUCUUGGGGGAGGUGCGUACUUGUGUAGAAAUAAGGUAAUGUUUGUGUGAAAUAAAGUACUAUGAAAUAGUUAAAGACUGAAUAUUGUGCAUUUAUAGUAAGUCACAUUUGACAUGAGUUUAUUAUCCUCUACGUUGUAUCAUUUGUUGUAAUAAACUUUAAACUGUAAAGUAAAAACUGACAAGAGUGCACAUUUAGACAAUAAGUCUAAAAUGUGAUCGGGAAUUUUUGACACCUAUUAAAAUAAACUGCACUCAGUAGACAGAUUUUUUUUUUAAAACUUAAGUGGUAUUUUAUUUUUGUCCACUAGAUGCGGGGAAACCCUAAAUUACAGUUUUUAAUUGGUUGCUUUAAUGUAGUUGUCAACUCAUACUCAAUAUUUCCCUAGACAGCAGCACUCAUCGUCAAAGUGACCCAUUUUGUUUGUAAAAGCUCUAACCGUGCCAAAACUUUAAAAUGUGAAACACAAGCAAAUAUGGCCUUUAAACAGCACAACUUGCAACCAAGUAUAUGAACUCAUCCAGGCACACGUGCAGAAGAGGGGCGAAGAAGGCUUGAGCCCCUGCCCCUUUUAUUUUUGAUGCCCUAGUGCCCUUUUUAAGGGGUUUUUUUUAAUAUAUGUAACCGAUAUUAGAUAUACGGGUGAAAUUCUUGCUAAAAUAUGUUUUGUAAAUAUCCUUGUAUGUAUUUCAUAAUUGCCUUGUGAUUAGUGGUGUUUGGCGCCCCCUACUGGUUGCCUAUAAAUACGAGGGGAAAUCGGAAAUUCCACACAGAGUGUUUUGCGCUCUGCUGUGGUAAGUCAUCAAAUCCGGUUCUCCUCUGACUAGUAUUUGUGGUUUUGUUCGGGGACUAAAUUGGAGUUUUGUUGCGGUACACAGAGUGACUGGUGGACCAGUAGGGGAGGCUAACAACUACCCAUUACAGAUAAAAAAAUUAAACGACUUAAAAUCCAACCAACAGUCCUCCAUGUCUGCAUGACGAGACGGGUAAUGGAGAAGCUGUUACAUUGGUGCCGUGACCUUGGACUUCAGUCAAGCUCAUCGAACUAUCGAACUUGUGACCGUCCUGUCUGCCACAUCGGUUUUUGAAGACAUCAGUUCACAUUGUAUAUGGGUUCAUGUUCACAGCUGACACAGUAGCAUUACAGUGCAGUGUAAAGAUAUUUCUAUACACUGAAAACCUUUAUGUGCCAUUAGAGUAAUAUACUACACAAAUUGUUUUGAUUUGUUUUGUUUAUUAUUCGUUUAUUCCAAGUUGGUGAUUUUAUUUGCUAUUGUGUUUUGGAUUCUGAAAAUCUUUUCAUUUGUUAAACUUCUGAACAAUGUCCAAUCAAAGUAACCACUGUUGGUUUAGCACACCCAUUAGUAUUGGUAGACGAAGAGGUGUGCUUGCUCCCAUUCCUUUUUCUGUUGAUAGUCCUGCUCCUAGUGGUCUUAUGGCCUCAUUAGAUGAAAUUCCUAGUGCUAGAGUCCAUAAUCCUGUUGACUAUCAUACCAGAACACCUAUACCUAAUAUCACACCAACACCGAAUCCUACUAGUGACAGUUGACCCAGACCCAUAUGACUACUGGCUGAAACUAAACAGAGCAGCUGACUUCGCCUCUGACUGCCUGAGAGAACAGGGCAAAUCAUUUGAAAACCCUGAGCUGGAGGUGACACAUAUGUUUAUUAGAAAUUGUCCCUGUAAAAACCUGACUCACUUUCAGGUCCAAAACUAUUGAUAGGUGGUCAGCGUGUGAAGACCUGGAGGUGCUGAAUGAGUACCAUGCUUAGGUGAGCUGUAAAGAAACUUCUCCAGUGCACCACUAAAAGACAGUGGACAUUAAAGUGCACAAAGCAGAGAUGGGCCAUGGCUUGGUCCCUACACACAACAGUCAGGAGUACUCCCAGACACACAGCUCUCAGUAUGUCUCCCUGACAGAUGUAAUGUUAAUGUUAGAGAAGGUUCUGCUGCAUGGAGCCUCUGAUCAGUCACAUGUAAGAAGGCGAACUCCACCCAGGCGACCUGUAGACAAUACAGACAUAAUUGAUGGUUUUACGAUUAAACCAUGCAUUAUUUGAAAAGCUGACAACCACAGUGCCUUGUCACAUUGCCGAGAAAAUAGGCUCUGUUUCAAUGUUAUUCUCCAGGCCAUUCACCCCACAACUGCCCAACUAAAAGAGCUGCCCCAGAGCAUCAGGAAAACUGACUGGUCUGCACACAAGGGAGGACAGUGCAGAUGAACUCAAUAAGCCUCCCAUCAGUAAUGAGUUUCCAGAAAUCCAAGAUAAUGCAUCCCUCUAUGAGUUGUACAGUAGUACAUUGAUCCCAUCCAAGAAACUGAUAUUCCAGGGAUCCCACAGAAUAGCAGAAACUAACAGCCUGUUCUACACACCUGUGUCUGUACAGAACGGCCUCACCCUCAAAGCACUGUUAGACAGUGGUUCAAUGGCUUGUACAAUAAGUGAGUCCUCUGUUCAGUACCUUUUACAGCAGUGUCCUGACAUAACGAAAGGCACGGCUGAGGAUUAUGACAUUAUAGGCUGUGGUGGACAACAGGUUUUCCCCAAAGACAUGUAUGAUCUUGAUGUCAUGGUUUAUGGAUGCAGGAUGAUAAUUCCAACAAUGGUUGUUCCAGGCCAGACAGAACAGAUGAUUCUUGGCAGCAAUGCCAUAAAACACAUUCUAACCCAACUAAAGAAUACUAACAGCUACUGGAGACUAGUUUCCGCACCCAACAAUGGCCAGACAACUGACCACUGCCAAUUUCUGUCACUACUAUCCAACACAGAACGUUGGAGGGGUGAUUGCAUUCCAGAUAAAGUAGGGACAGUGAAAGUCAAGAGUUGUGUGACCCUGAAACCACAGAGUGAACACCUUGUCUGGAGCAAGUUACCUGAGUGAGCAGUGAUGUCGGCAGGCAAUACAGUGAUUGUUGAGCCAACACGGUCUAAAGCUGGGUCAAGACACAUCCUUGUUGGCAGAGUUGUCACUCCUCUUUGGGGAGAUCGAUGGGUGCCUGUUAGGGUUAUCAAUCCUACAGACAGAGUUGUAGUACUGAGAAGAAAUGCCAAAUUAGCAGAUGUGUCUCCAUGUAUUGCAGUUGAAGACCUACCAAAAGCUGACAAGAUUGAGUGUAAUAUGCAGCGUGUACAGAGUGACGUUGUGCAGCCAAGGUCAGAGGAGGACAUGAUGCAUGCACUGAAGGCUCUGGGUCUGCAAGACAUUGACCUGAAAUCAUGUGAAGUGCCUCUGCAGUGGAAAGACAAGCUCCUUGACCUCAUUGUGCAGCAUGAGUCAAUCUUCUACCAUCAAAAGAUGGAUUGUGGAGAAGCUAAGAGGUUUAUUCACCGCAUCCAUCUUGUUGAUAACAAGCCAUUCCGUUUACCCUACAGAUGCAUACCGCCAAGCCAGUAUGAGAAACUGAGAACGACUGAAUGAAAUGGAAGAGAGAGGCAUUAUCCAGAAGUCAAACAGUGAGUAUGCAUCUGCACUCGUUCUGGUAUGGAAACCAAAUGGUGACCUCAGAGUCUGCACUGACUUCAGAUGGCUCAAUGCGAGAACUGUGAAGAAUGCUUACCCACUUCUACAUCAAGCUGAUGCUUUGGCUGCCCUUGGUGGUAAUGCGUUCUUCUCAACGAUGGACCUGACAUCAGGCUUUUAUAAUGUCCCUCUUCACCCUGAUGCAAAAAAUAUACAGCAUUCUCAUCCCCAUUUGGACUACAUGAAUACAACCGCCUGCCUCAAGGCCUGGCACAUUCAUGAGGAUGAUGAUGUCCAUAUUCGGUGAUGAGAACUUCACAAGCCUAUUGUGCUAUCUUGAUGAUCUGAUGGUUUUUGCACCUACAGAGGAAACCGCACUCCAUCGCCUACACAUGGUUUUCUCCCGCCUUAAAGAGCACAAUCUUAAACUCGCACCCAAGAAGUGCUUCUUCCUAAGGUGGACUGUGAAGUUUCUUGGGCAUGUCAUCAGUGAUAAUGGUGUCCAAACAGACCCUGAGAAAGUGAAGGCCAUAAAUGACAUCCAAAACACUGACAUCAUGCAGUUUGAUGGAAAAACACUUUGCCCUAGCAAAAUCAGAUCUUAUCUGGGCAUGGUGAUGUACUAUCAAAGCUUCAUUGAGGCAUGUUCUGCAAAGGCGAAACCACUGUUUAAGCUCACAGCUGGACUGGAUGCUCAAAACAAGCACAAAAGAGGUUGCAAACCUGUCAAAAAGAAAGGUCUUGUGAAACUGACACCUGCUGAUUGGACAGAUGCAUGCCAGACUGCUUUUGAGACACUGAAACAUGACCUCAUGACAAGUGUUACUCUAGCCCACCCAGAUUUCAAUCCCCCAUUCAUUCUAGCUGUCGACGCAUCCUUUGAUGGGAUUGGAGCUGUCCUGUCACAACUACCGUCUGGUGGAACAGUGGCCAGGCCAGUCGCCUUUGCAAGUAGAACUCUUUCAUGCUCCCAACUGAACUACCCUGCACACCACCUUGAUUUCUUGCCUUGAAAUGGGCAGUAUGUGACAAAUUCAGCCAUUGGUUGAAGGGCAGACACUUCACCAUAUGAACUGACAAUAAUCCAUUGACAUAUAUUCUGACCAAACCCAGACUUGACGCGUGUGAACAGCGGUGGGUGGCAAAGUUUGCUGCAUAUGACUUUGACCUGAAAUACAUCCCUGGGCCAAAGAACAUCGUUGCAGAUGCCUUGAGCCGUGAGCCGUUUGUCCAGUCAUGUGUGGGUCAUCGCCUCAUAAAUGAGCCAUAUACCUCGCUGUCAGACCAGGUCAACAGUGUGAAUGACAGACUCGUACAGGAUGUCUUCAGAGUGUCCAACAACUGUCAAGCUGUUGUAGAUGAUGGGAGUGAGAUGCCAAAUGAACCAGUCCAAGAUACAGUUCCACCAAACACAAAAGGCUCAGUCUCAGCAGAGGAAGUUGCUGCCAUCCUCAAUGUUCAGUCCAGCGAUGUGAGCCAUAUGAUGGGAACUGGUGUUGACCCCAAUUUUCUGCUGGAUGAAAACCAGUCUGCAUUCCCACAGAGCCAGCUUGUCAAUUGGCAGGAGGCUGACGACACAAUCAGCAGAGCCAUGUACUAUGUAUGGAGACAUAGAAGACCUACCAAAUGUGAAAGGGCUAAUGAAUCAUGGAGCGUGAUUAAGCUGCUGAAACACUGGACCAGACUCACCAUACAGAAUGGCAUGCUGUACAAGGCAAGGAAAGAUCCUCACAUGAAUAAGAAAAUCCUCCAGUUCAUAGUACCUGACUCAAUGAAGCAGAAAGUUCUCCAUGGUCUCCAUGAUGCAGCGGGUCACCAAGGCCAGCACCGUACCUUGUCCCUGGCGAGGCAAAGAUUUUUCUGGAGUGGAUGGGCUGUGAUAUAAUGAACUAUGUUCGGUCCUGUCAGCGCUCCAUUGUAGGGAAGACACCGGAACCGCACAGCCGUGCGUCACUUCAAAAAAUAGUCACUACUGAGUCUAUGGAAUUAGUCUGCAUAGACUUUUGGACUGCUGAGCAAGGGAACAAGUCUGUGGAUGUUCUAGUUGUGACUGAUCAUUUCUCCAAGAUGGCACACGCCUUCCCCUGCAAGAAUCAGACUGCCAAAGGAAGUUGCUCGUCAUCUCUGGAACAACUUCUUUCUCAUUUAUGGUUUUCCUCGCCGUAUACAUUCUGACCAACAAGCCAACUUUGAGAGCAAGCUAAUGAAAGAGCUUCUAGAGAUGGCUGGGAUACAGAAAUCUCAUACAACCCCUUAUCACCCCAUGGGGAAUGGUGUCGCAGAGAGAUUCAACAGGACUCUGGGAGACAUGAUCAGAUCCCUUCCCCCUCAGCCAAAAGCAAAGUGGCCACAAAUGCUGCAGCUACUAACCUGCUAUAACUGCACAGAGCAUGAGACAACACGGUCCGCACCAUUCUGCCUGGUGUUUGGAAGGAUCCCUCGUCUACCUGUUGAUGUGAUGUUUCAACAUGCCCUCACCUAUGAUACUGUUGUCAACUACUCACUUUGUUUCUCACCUAAAGAAAGAUCUACAUAAGGCUGCUCAGAUUGUGCAGAAAAACAGUCUCAAGGAACAGACUCGCCAUGCCAAGCUAUACAACCGCAAGUUCAAGGGAACACCUCUAGUCAUUGGAGACGGAGUACUUAUCGCCAACAGAGGAGUGUCGGGGAAACGCAAGAUUGCAGACAAUUGGGAAUCUACCCCUUACGAGGUCGUAUGAGUCAAGCCUGAUAUCAAUGUCUACAAAGUUAAGGAUGUCCUAACGGGCAGAGAGAGAGUUGCUACUCCCUGUUAGCUUCUUGCCAUGUGAGAGUACUGAGGACCAUGAAUCUGACCAUAAAUCUGACAGUGCUGCUGCUAUGCAUGGAAGUGGUCUAUGUCCAGAUAUACCUGAUGUAAUGGAGGACAGUGAUGUCCACACAGUCAACUGGCUGAUGCAGUCCGGCGAUGAUGGAACCCAUUCAGAUGAUGAUGACUCACUUGAUCGGGGAUCCUUUGCCGCCCAGUCUGACUCUCUCUCAGUUGUUACAUCCAGUCCAACCAGUCACCCGAUUCUUGUCCACAAUAUUGGCCACUCAGCAGUCGAUGAUGUAGAAGAUCCAAAACAUUGCCCAGACAUGGUAACAACCCCUACCAGCUCUGUCCAUCCAGACGUGCCCUCUCCUGACAAACUCCUCAUAGACGUUGACGCCAGACAGCUGCUCCAGACGGUGACUGUUCAGACACUGCCAUUCCAGACUCCUUAACUCAGAUUGUUUCCACACAGCUGGACAGUCGUAUUCUUAGGGACCGUAGUUCCAUUAGGCCCCCCAGACGUCUUAUUUGUGAGAUGAACAAUCAAACAGUAGAUGAGACUUCUUUAUCUCCCGUGUCUGUUAGUUCCCUGAUUCAGUUUUUUCAAAUGCAUUUUCAGUUUAAGUAACAGAGUUAGGACAGUGUUAAGCAUAGAAGUGCUUGAGUAUUACUUUUAGGAUCACAGGAACAUUGUUUACAUUUCAGAGGCGUAAUGGGCACCUUUGAGUCUGUGUUUAGCUAGAAGUUUGAUAGCCUCCUUUCUUUACAUACUCCCUUUUGGGAGAGUUUUUUCACUGACAAGUAUACCCAGUUUUGUUCCUAGUGUUGCACACUUUCUUUUUGCUUUUCCCUUAGUACACCCAUUUUUUUUAUUUGUUUGUUUGUUUUUGUUUUGUUUGAUCCGAAGCAUUACUUUUCAUAUUUAGCAGAAUUUCAGGGGGGUGUAUGUAACGGAUAUUAGAUAUACGGGUGAAAUUCUUGCUAAAAUAUGUUUUGUAAAUAUCUUUGUAUGUAUUUCAUAAUUGCCUUGUGAUUAGUGGUGUUUGGCGCCCCCUACUGGUUGCCUAUAAAUACGAGGGGAAACCGAAAAUUCCACUCGGACUGUUUUGCGCUCUGCUGUGGUAAGUCAUCAAAUCCGGUUCUCCUCUGACUAGUAUUUGUGGUUUUGUUCGGGGACUAAAUUGGAGUUUUGUUGCGGUACACAGAGUGACUGGUGGACCAGUAGGGGAGGCUAACAACUACCCAUUACAGGUAAAAAUGUCAGCAAUUUAAUGUGUCAGUUAUGUUUGUCAGUUUGUCUGUUGUAUUAGCCAGUUUGUCAGUUAUGUUUGCCAAUUUGUCAGUCGGUUUAUUAGCUGUUUCCAUGACGACGAUAUGGCCAGCUUUGUUUUCUGUGAAGCACCAGAGGGUGCUAUUUAGUAAUUUAAUAAUUCUUUUUGAUUGCUGUCUGUAUUUAUUUUUCUAAAUUAUUUCAUAUAUAAAAGAAAGACCAAAUUGUAUAAAAUUCAUUUUAAAGAUGUAUCAUUAAUCAAAACCACUAUACGAUCACAUGUCAGAGAAAAAUACAUUGUUAAACUUCAUUGUAAUAAUUAUUUGUAAAACACAGACUGUUUUGCGCUCUGCUGUGAGUGACUGGUGGACCAGUAGGGGAGGCUAACUGCGCUGUUUGUGUCAACUACUCAUUACAGAUAAAAAAAUUAAA